rnacentral:rRNA from 1 species
GGGGAGCUUGCACAGGUGCUGCAUGGCUGUCGUCAGCUCGUGUCGUGAGAUGUUCGGUUAAGUCCGCUAACGAGCGCAACCCUCGCUGUGUGUUAUAUGUGUCACACGGGACUGCCGGUCUUAAGCCGGAGGAAGGUGGGGAUGAUGUCAAGUCAGCAUGGCCUUUAUAUCCUGGGCUACACACACGCUACAAUGGCCAACACAAUAGGUUGCUAAGCCGCGAGGUGGCGCCAAUCCAUAAAGUUGGUCUCAGUUCAGAUUGUAGGCUGCAACCCGCCUGCAUGAAGAUGGAGUUGCUAGUAACCGCAGGUCAGCUAUACUGCGGUGAAUACGUUCCCGGGGCUU